rnacentral:rRNA from 1 species
GUACACGAGCGGCGAACGGGUGAGUAACACGUGAGCAACCUACCCUCAACUUCGGGAUAAGCCUCGGAAACGGGGUCUAAUACCGGAUAUCACUCCUUACUUCAUGGUUUGGGGUUGAAAGUUCUGGCGGUUGGGGAUGGGCUCGCGGCCUAUCAGCUUGUUGGUGGGGUAAUGGCCUACCAAGGCGUCGACGGGUAGCCGGCCUGAGAGGGCGACCGGCCACACUGGGACUGAGACACGGCCCAGACUCCUACGGGAGGCAGCAGUGGGGAAUAUUGCGCAAUGGACGAAAGUCUGACGCAGCAACGCCGCGUGAGGGAUGACGGCCUUCGGGUUGUAAACCUCUUUCAGCAGGGACGAAGCGAGAGUGACGGUACCUGCAGAAGAAGGACCGGCCAACUACGUGCCAGCAGCCGCGGUAAUACGUAGGGUCCGAGCGUUGUCCGGAAUUAUUGGGCGUAAAGGGCUCGUAGGCGGUUCGUCACGUCGGGAGUGAAAACUCGGAGCUCAACUCCGAGCCUGCUUCCGAUACGGGCAGACUAGAGGUAGGCAGGGGAGAGCGGAACUCCUGGUGUAGCGGUGGAAUGCGCAGAUAUCAGGAAGAACACCGGUGGCGAAGGCGGCUCUCUGGGCCUUACCUGACGCUGAGGAGCGAAAGCGUGGGUAGCGAACAGGAUUAGAUACCCUGGUAGUCCACGCCGUAAACGUUGGGCGCUAGGUGUGGGGGACAUUCCACGUCCUCCGUGCCGCAGCUAACGCAUUAAGCGCCCCGCCUGGGGAGUACGGCCGCAAGGCUAAAACUCAAAGGAAUUGACGGGGGCCCGCACAAGCGGCGGAGCAUGCGGAUUAAUUCGAUGCAACGCGAAGAACCUUACCUGGGUUUGACAUAUAGGGAAAUCCUCCAGAGAUGGGGGGUCCGUAAGGGUCCUAUACAGGUGGUGCAUGGCUGUCGUCAGCUCGUGUCGUGAGAUGUUGGGUUAAGUCCCGCAACGAGCGCAACCCUCGUCCUAUGUUGCCAGCACGUUAUGGUGGGGACUCAUAGGAGACUGCCGGGGUCAACUCGGAGGAAGGUGGGGAUGACGUCAAGUCAUCAUGCCCCUUAUGUCCAGGGCUUCACGCAUGCUACAAUGGCCGGUACAAAGGGCUGCGAAACUGCAAAGUGGAGCGAAUCCCAAAAAGCCGGUCUCAGUUCGGAUUGGGGUCUGCAACUCGACCCCAUGAAGUCGGAGUCGCUAGUAAUCGCAGAUCAGCAACGCUGCGGUGAAUACGUUCCCGGGCCUUGUACACACCGCCCGUCACGUCAUGAAAGUCGGCAACACCCGAAGCC